UGAUGACGAGACGCUAAGGCGUUGAAGCAGUGUAUGUCAGACUUCCAAGAAAAGCUCGCAAUGUCACAAAUAAGAAAUGCCUGUACCAUAACCGACACAGGUGGGUAGGUAGAGUAUACUAAGGGGCGCGAGAUAACUCUCUCUAAGGAACUCGGCAAAGUGACUCCGUAACUUCGGGGGAAGGGGUGCCUUAUUUAUAAGGUUGCAAUAACAAGAUCCAAGCAACUGUUUAUCAAAAACACAGGUCUCCGCUAAGUCGUAAGACGAUGUAUGGGGGCUGACGCCUGCCCAGUGCCAGAAGGUUAAAGAAGUUGGUUAGUGUAUGCGAAGCUGACGACUGAAGCCCUGGUGAACGGCGGCCGUAACUAUAACGGUCCUAAGGUAGCGAAAUUCCUUGUCGGGUAAGUUCCGACCCGCACGAAAGGCGUAAUGAUUUGGAUACUGUCUCAGAGAGAGGCUCGGCGAAAUAGACUUGUCUGUGAAGAUGCGGACUACCUGCACCAGGACAGAAAGACCCUAUGAAGCUUUACUGUAACUUGAAAUUGGAAUUGGACUUUGCUUGCGCAGUAUAGGUGGGAAGCGUUGAAAAUAUUCUUGCGGGAGUAUUGGGGCUAUCAGUGAGAUACCACUCUUGUAAUGUUAGAUUUCUAACUUUGAACCAUAAUCUGGUCAAAGAACAGUUUCAGGUGGGCAGUUUGACUGGGGCGGUCGCCUCCCAAAUGGUAACGGAGGCGUACAAAGGUUUCCUCUGAACGGAUAGAAAUCGUAUCUAGAGUGUAAAGGCAUAAGGAAGCUUGACUGUGAGACCUACAAGUCGAGCAGGGACGAAAGUCGGUCUUAGUGAUCUGACGGUACUGAGUGGAAAGGCCGUCACUCAACGGAUAAAAGUUACUCUAAGGAUAACAGGCUGAUCUCCCCCAAGAGUUCACAUCGACGGGGAGGUUUGGCACCUCGAUGUCGGCUCAUCGCAUCCUGGGGCGGUAGUACGUCCCAAGGGUUGGGCUGUUCGCCCAUGAAAGCGGUACGCGAGCUGGGUUCAGAACGUCGUGAGACAGUUCGGUCCAUAUCCGGUGUAGGCGCUAGAAUAUUGAGAGGAGCCUUCUUUAGUACGAGAGGACCGAGAAGGACACACCGCUGGUGUACCAGUUAUCGUGCCAACGGUAAACGCUGGGUAGCUAUGUGUGGAGUGGAUAACCGCUGAAAGCAUCUAAGUGGGAAGCCCACCUCGAGAUGAG
rnacentral:rRNA from 1 species